rnacentral:rRNA from 1 species
CAGAGGGUGCAAGCGUUGUUCGGAAUUAUUGGGCGUAAAGGGCGCGUAGGCGGUGCGGUAAGUCUUUUGUGAAAUCUCCGGGCUCAACUCGGAGUCUGCAGGAGAAACUGCCGUGCUUGAGUGUGGGAGAGGUGAGUGGAAUUCCCGGUGUAGCGGUGGAAUGCGUAGAUAUCGGGAGGAACACCCGUGGCGAAAGCGGCUCACUGGACCACAACUGACGCUGAGGCGCGAAAGCUAGGGGAGCAAACAGGAUUAGAUACCCUGGUAGUCCUAGCCCUAAACGAUGAUUGCUUGGUGUGGCAGGUACCCAAUCCUGCUGUGCCGAAGCUAACGCGAUAAGCAAUCCGCCUGGGGAGUACGGUCGCAAGGCUG